rnacentral:lncRNA from 1 species
CUUAGGCAAAAUUGAGCGUCUCGGUGGAUUGAAACCCGAAAGGGCGAUCCAGGCAAAAGUUAGAGACAUAAAACAGAAAAAUUAUCUCGAUAAAUUGAGUACCCCACUUUGGGGCAAUUUAUGCAAAAACUAGGGAUUGUGGAAAGUAACUGCAUCUUGUGUAUCUUUAGUCUUGAAGACAUUCUUGAGCACAACAUUUGGUUCUAUUUCAUCUUCAACCAAAGCCAAGAGCACAACGGAUAUUGAAGG